rnacentral:rRNA from 1 species
GUAGGUGGCAAGCGUUGUCCGGGAAUUAGUGGGCGUAAAGCGCGCGCAGGCGGUCUUUAAGUCUGAUGUGAAAGCCCACGGGUUCAACCGUGGAGGGUCAUUGGAAACUGGAGAACUUGAGUACAGAAGAGGAAAGCGGAAUUCCACGUGUAGCGGUGAAACGCGUAGAGAUGUGGAGGAACACCAGUGGCGAAGGCGGCUUUCUGGUCUGUAACUGACGCUGAGGCGCGAAAGCGUGGGGAGCAAACAGGAUUAGAUACCCUGGUAGUCCACGCCGUAAACGAUGAGUGCUAAGUGUUAGGGGGUUUCCGCCCCUUAGUGCUGCAGCUAACGCAUUAAGCACUCCGCCUGGGGAGUACGGCCGCAAAGGCUGA